rnacentral:rRNA from 1 species
CCUACGGGAGGCAGCAGUGGGGAAUCUUCCGCAAUGGGCGCAAGCCUGACGGAGCAACGCCGCGUGAGUGAAGAAGGUCUUCGGAUCGUAAAGCUCUGUUGAAGGGGACGAACGUGUAUAGUGCAAAUAGUGCUAUAUAAUGACGGUACCUUUUGAGGAAGCCACGGCUAACUACGUGCCAGCAGCCGCGGUAAUACGUAGGUGGCGAGCGUUGUCCGGAAUCAUUGGGCGUAAAGGGAGCGCAGGCGGCCGUGUAAGUCUUGCUUAAAAGUUCGGGGCUCAACCCCGUGAUGGGCAAGAAACUAUAUGGCUUGAGUGCAGGAGAGGAAAGCGGAAUUCCCAGUGUAGCGGUGAAAUGCGUAGAUAUUGGGAGGAACACCAGUGGCGAAGGCGGCUUUCUGGACUGCAACUGACGCUGAGGCUCGAAAGCCAGGGGAGCGAACGGGAUUAGAUACCCUUGUAGUC